AACUAACAAGGAUUCCCCUAGUAACUGCGAGUGAAGCGGGAAAAGCUCAAAUUUAAAAUCUGAGGGUCUUUAUGGCCUUCCGAGUUGUAAUCUAGAGAAGUGCUAUCCGCGCUGGACCGUGUACAAGUCUCCUGGAACGGAGCGUCAUAGAGGGUGAGAAUCCCGUCUUUGACACGGACUACCAGGGCUUAUGUGAUGCGCUCUCAAAGAGUCGAGUUGUUUGGGAAUGCAGCUCUAAAUGGGUGGUAAAUUCCAUCUAAAGCUAAAUAUUGGCGAGAGACCGAUAGCGAACAAGUACCGUGAGGGAAAGAUGAAAAGAACUUUGGAAAGAGAGUUAAACAGUACGUGAAAUUGUUGAAAGGGAAACGCUUGAAGUCAGUCGCAUUGGCCAGGGAUCAACCUUGCUUUUGCUUGGUGUAUUUUCUGGUUAAUGGGUCAGCAUCAAUUUUGAUCGGUGGAAAAAGAUCAAGGGAAUGUGGCAUCUUCGGAUGUGUUAUAGCCUUUGGUUGUAUACAUCGGUUGGGAUUGAGGAACUCAGCACGCCGCAAGGCCGGGUUUUUAACCACGUACGUGCUUAGGAUGCUGGCAUAAUGGCUUUAAUCGACCCGUCUUGAAACACGGACCAAGGAGUCUAACAUGCACGCGAGUGUUUGGGUGGAAAACCCGAGCGCGUAAUGAAAGUGAAAAUUGAGAUCCCUGUCGUGGGGAGCAUCGAUGCCCGGACCAGACCUUUUGUGACGGUUCCGCGGUUGAGCGUGUAUGCUGGGACCCGAAAGAUGGUGAACUAUGCCUGAAUAGGGUGAAGCCAGAGGAAACUCUGGUGGAGGCUCGUAGCGAUUCUGACGUGCAAAUCGAUCGUCAAAUUUGGGUAUAGGGGCGAAAGACUAAUCGA
rnacentral:rRNA from 1 species